rnacentral:lncRNA from 1 species
GAUGGGCUGUAUUGAAAUUGUUCCAACUUAUCAAAAAGAGUUUUGAUGAUAUUAUGAUAAAAAUCAUAAUGUGCCUCACUACUAGAUAGAAUAGAACCUAUGGGGUCACACACAAAAAAGUUUUUGUCUGAUCCGAUGAUUGAUCGAUGAUUAUGAAUCGUUAAGGAUAUAAUUAUUAAUACGAUUGAUAAUUAACCCAAUGCAAAAGUUGUAAGAGGAUUAAUUAAUAAUUUAAUUACUAAUUAGACUCAAUUUGAUUAAGAAAUAAAUUUUAGAUCAAGUCUAAUUG